UACAGAGGUCUCAAGCGUUGUUCGGAUUCAUUGGGCGUAAAGGGUGCGUAGGCGGCGUGGUAAGUCGGGUGUGAAAUCUCGGAGCUUAACUCCGAAACUGCAUUCGAUACUGCCGUGCUUGAGGACUGGAGAGGAGACUGGAAUUUACGGUGUAGCGGUGAAAUGCGUAGAUAUUUGGAGGAAUACCGGUGGCGAAGGCGGCCUUCUGGGCCGUUCCUGACACUGAGACGCGAAAGCGUGGGUAGCAAACAGG
rnacentral:rRNA from 1 species